rnacentral:rRNA from 1 species
CCUACGGGGGGGCAGCAGUGGGAAAUAUUGCACAAUGGGCGCAAGCCUGAUGCAGCCAUGCCGCGUGUGUGAAGAAGGCCUUCGGGUUGUAAAGCACUUUCAGCGGGGAGGAAGGCGGUGAGGUUAAUAACCUCAUCGAUUGACGUUACCCGCAGAAGAAGCACCGGCUAACUCCGUGCCAGCAGCCGCGGUAACACGGAGGGUGCAAGCGUUAAUCGGAAUUACUGGGCGUAAAGCGCACGCAGGCGGUCUGUCAAGUCGGAUGUGAAAUCCCCGGGCUCAACCUGGGAACUGCAUUCGAAACUGGCAGGCUAGAGUCUUGUAGAGGGGGGUAGAAUUCCAGGUGUAGCGGUGAAAUGCGUAGAGUUCUGGAGGAAUACCGGUGGCGAAGGCGGCCCCCUGGACAAAGACUGACGCUCAGGUGCGAAAGCGUGGGGAGCAACCAGGAUUAGAUACCCCGGUAGUC